rnacentral:lncRNA from 1 species
GAGGUAGUGCCCGCCCGUUACAGAAUUUUCGGGCAGGAGGGACACGGGGGGCAUGGGCGAGGACAGGCGGAGGAGGGGAGGGGGCAUGGGCGGGGACGGGCGGAGGAGGGGGGGCAUGGGCGGGAUGGAAAAGGGAGGAAGGGUGACGACGGAGCUGGGAUCGCAGCUGCGGCUCAGAUGCAAUCUCAUCUGCCGAUUAUAUAUCUGGGAACGGAGGGAGGGAACGUAGGGGAACCAGGGGCGGGCAGGUUCGAGGCCGGGCAGCAUGGUGGGCGGUU